UUCCCCCCUUCUGCCUCCUAAACCACCUCCCUCACUCCCUCUCAGAUGACUACCUCCUCAACUGCGGCUCUUCCUCCAACGCCACCCUUCGGAGAUUCCAAUUCUGGGACGGUUUUGUCUCCACAGGCCGGUCUAUUUCAGUCACCAACAACAACAUCCCACCUCCAAACUCACCUUCUUCUUACAACACAGCAACAGUUUCCACUUGGUACAUUUUUAUUCCUCAUUGUUUUCGGCUCUGGGCUUUGAUUUGAUUGAAAACCCUUUGUUUUCUUUGGAGAAAAACGUUGUGGGUCUUAGUUUUCUUGGCUAUUGCUUAUGUAUGUGUGUGAAAUAUUGAAUCUUUGGUGGGUUUUGAUAGAGAUGAGCUGGAAUUUUGAUUGAGAUUAGAGAUGGAUGAGUUCGAAAUGCAAAACCCAAAGCAAAGCACUCUGUUUUUUUCGUGGUUGCUUUAUAUAGUUGAAAUAAUUAUAAUACUGGGUUAACAAUGGAAGCUUUAUUGGGAAAUGAAGGAAACAGUAUUAGACAUGGGUUUUUGCUUUUUAAGCUUCUUUUGCUUUGUUUUCUUGAGAUUUGGUUAUGGGGGGUUACAUGUUGUUCUUUUCUUGGCUGGUAUAUGUAAUAGAUGACAGAAGAUCCUAUCAGAAAAAAGAAAGCAGAUGAUGGAAGAAACAUUAAAUACCAGUGUUUUGACUAUUAUGAUUAUUAGUCAAUUGGAAAUCAGCUUUCCUUAGUAUGUUUUAAACUUCUAUUUUAUUAGAAUAUGACAGAAAGUGCAUCGCAUCGAGAAUAUGAAUUCACACUCUGCAGUUUCUUUUGUCCAAUCUGAUAUGGUUAACUCAUUCUGCUCUCUAAAAAAAUUAGAGAUUUUUUUACCCUUAGUCAAUAUACUUUAUUUUACAUCAUCAUAACAUUUUUGAUAUAUUGGCUGUGUUUUUUUUCAGAUUGAUCAUUUUUUGAUAUAUGUCGGUGGUUUUGGGUUUUAAACAAACCAGAGUUCUUUGGUAUAUACCUCCUCUUGAUUGCAAACUAGAUGUUCUUUAAAAAUAUUAACUCUGUCAUAUGCUUUCAGAUUGCCAAAGCUUUUUUCAAUCAACUCAAACUGUUCGUGAGGUAGUUUAUCAAUUUCAAUUUCAUCUUCUUAUUCAUGCUUGGUUGUGUUCAGUUUAAUUAUGAAUUGUUUUCUUCUGUACUUUUUGUUUGAGUUGGAUUUGUGAUAAAAUUGCGUCUUUUGUUUGAGUUUGAAUUCAACUUUAAACAGGCUCAAUGAAGGAGCAAGUAAGUACUUGAAUGAGAAAAAAUGAUCUGAAUUUGGUUAUCCAGUUAAUAUAGCUUAGUGGAAUUCAUUCAUCAGCAUUAAUUAAGCAAACAGUGCUUAAUGUUGAAUUUUUGAAAACCCUGAAAUUGCCUCUCCUAAUAUAUAUGCCUACACCAGCAGGAUUUAAUACAUCAAGGGCAGUAGAGUAACUAAGGUAAUAGAAAUCCUAGAAUGACAACAACACAGUACAGGUUUUGCCACGUUCAGCCAAAACCAAGAUUGCAGUUAUAACUUUCCCGCUCUCACCAAAACCGCUUAUUCCUAAGCAAAAGACAGGUUUUUCUUUGCCACGAGUUGCAAUAAGGUUUUGCUAUGACAUGUAUACAAUCAGAUUUUUUUCUUCUUUUGUUCAAAGCUGAAGGUUUUUGAGAAUUCUAAAUUCAUGACUUGAUGAGCACUUGGUGGUUCUUCUUCUUCCAAGGCUUUUUCUGAACCCAAGUGUUCUUGAGAAAAACAAGAAGGGGCAAGAGACCUAGAAAGGGAGGCAACCGAUUCUGGAAGAGUAUUGGGCUGUGCACCAAGAACCACAGGGAUGCCAUUCAAGGAUACUAAGGAAGGGUACGUAUGCUUUUACAAGGAAGGCUUCAAUUCAGUUUAUGCUUUCAAUCUGAGACGUGUUACUCUAUGACGUUGUCUUGGUUGCCAUCAGUCGAAUACAGUUAAUCGAAGACAAAGUUCGGUUAUGUCAAGCUCUCAUCCAAACUUUCCACAUUUCACUUGGAAUCUUGCAGCUUAGGCAUACAACGAAAUUAGUAGUACUUGAAUUAUUGAUGAUCACGUACUAUUUUUUAUUCUAAUUAGCAGUCUUGAUGGGAAAAUCUGUAGUUCACUUUUUCAACUACAAACUGAAAGAAGC